GCGAAUACCGGAGAAUGUUAUCACGGGAGACACACGGCGGGUGCUAACGUCCGUCGUGAAGAGGGAAACAACCCAGACCGCCAGCUAAGGUCCCAAAGUCAUGGUUAAGUGGGAAACGAUGUGGGAAGGCCCAGACAGCCAGGAUGUUGGCUUAGAAGCAGCCAUCAUUUAAAGAAAGCGUAAUAGCUCACUGGUCGAGUCGGCCUGCGCGGAAGAUGUAACGGGGCUAAACCAUGCACCGAAGCUGCGGCAGCGACACUCAGGUGUUGUUGGGUAGGGGAGCGUUCUGUAAGCCUGCGAAGGUGGCCUGUGAGGGUUGCUGGAGGUAUCAGAAGUGCGAAUGCUGACAUAAGUAACGAUAAAGCGGGUGAAAAGCCCGCUCGCCGGAAGACCAAGGGUUCCUGUCCAACGUUAAUCGGGGCAGGGUGAGUCGACCCCUAAGGCGAGGCCGAAAGGCGUAGUCGAUGGGAAACGGGUUAAUAUUCCCGUACUUGGUGUUACUGCGAAGGGGGGACGGAGAAGGCUAUGUUGGCCGGGCGACGGUUGUCCCGGUUUAAGCGUGUAGGUGUGUGUUCCAGGUAAAUCCGGUUCACUUUAACACUGAGGCGUGAUGACGAGGCACUACGGUGCUGAAGCAACAAAUGCCCUGCUUCCAGGAAAAGCCUCUAAGCAUCAGGUAACAUCAAAUCGUACCCCAAACCGACACAGGUGGUCAGGUAGAGAAUACCAAGGCGCUUGAGAGAACUCGGGUGAAGGAACUAGGCAAAAUGGUGCCGUAACUUCGGGAGAAGGCACGCUGACACGUAGGUGAAGUGAUUUACUCAUGGAGCUGAAGUCAGUCGAAGAUACCAGCUGGCUGCAACUGUUUAUUAAAAACACAGCACUGUGCAAACACGAAAGUGGACGUAUACGGUGUGACGCCUGCCCGGUGCCGGAAGGUUAAUUGAUGGGGUCAGCGCAAGCGAAGCUCCUGAUCGAAGCCCCGGUAAACGGCGGCCGUAACUAUAACGGUCCUAAGGUAGCGAAAUUCCUUGUCGGGUAAGUUCCGACCUGCACGAAUGGCGUAAUGAUGGCCAGGCUGUCUCCACCCGAGACUCAGUGAAAUUGAACUCGCUGUGAAGAUGCAGUGUACCCGCGGCAAGACGGAAAGACCCCGUGAACCUUUACUAUAGCUUGACACUGAACAUUGAGCCUUGAUGUGUAGGAUAGGUGGGAGGCUUUGAAGUGUGGACGCCAGUCUGCAUGGAGCCGACCUUGAAAUACCACCCUUUAAUGUUUGAUGUUCUAACGUGGACCCGUAAUCCGGGUUGCGGACAGUGUCUGGUGGGUAGUUUGACUGGGGCGGUCUCCUCCUAAAGAGUAACGGAGGAGCACGAAGGUUGGCUAAUCCUGGUCGGACAUCAGGAGGUUAGUGCAAUGGCAUAAGCCAGCUUGACUGCGAGCGUGACGGCGCGAGCAGGUGCGAAAGCAGGUCAUAGUGAUCCGGUGGUUCUGAAUGGAAGGGCCAUCGCUCAACGGAUAAAAGGUACUCCGGGGAUAACAGGCUGAUACCGCCCAAGAGUUCAUAUCGACGGCGGUGUUUGGCACCUCGAUGUCGGCUCAUCACAUCCUGGGGCUGAAGUAGGUCCCAAGGGUAUGGCUGUUCGCCAUUUAAAGUGGUACGCGAGCUGGGUUUAGAACGUCGUGAGACAGUUCGGUCCCUAUCUGCCGUGGGCGCUGGAGAACUGAGGGGGGCUGCUCCUAGUACGAGAGGACCGGAGUGGACGCAUCACUGGUGUUCGGGUUGUCAUGCCAAUGGCACUGCCCGGUAGCUAAAUGCGGAAGAGAUAAGUGCUGAAAGCAUCUAAGCACGAAACUUGCCCCGA
rnacentral:rRNA from 1 species